CGCCCCGCGCUCCCGCACGCCCAGCCGCGGGUCCGCGGGACGCCCUGCCGCGCGGGGUUCCACCGACGCCCGCAGCCGCUGCUCCCCGCUGGCGCCCCCCUGGAAACCGUGCUUCCGACCUCCUCCUUCCAGGACGCGUCCUGACUCGCGCCACCAGGGUGUUUUCAAGUUCAAUCACUGCGACACUCAAGGGCAUGUGCCGCUGAGAAGACCGCCUUUGUAGAAGACCCUCAGAGCCCAUCAGUGUUGUUGCAACACGGAGAAUCUCCUUUUUCCUAGUUGAAUAAUACUGGUGUGUGUGCAUUUCCAUUCUUUAUCCAUUCAUCUGUUGAUGGACACUUGUUUCCUUGUCUGGCCUAUCAUGAGUAAUGCUGCAAUGAACCAGGAAGUACAGACUUCAUUUUCCUUCAGGUGUCUUUCACGGUUUUGUUCCAAGUACUUUCCAUGGAUCAGCUCUUCUGGGCCCACAACCAUCCCAUGAGCCGCAAAUGAAAAUGACCCUCUUGACCUGCAGGUUCUUCGGACAUCAUAACUUCCUAACUCAACUGCUCACGCAAAGUUCCCACCUAUUGUGAAUUUCAGGAUUAUCACUCACUCAUCAUUACAGGAAUAUUUCAGUCAACAGAAUAGGAAGAUCUAGUCAUAGAAGCACAGAAAGCCAUUACCAUGCAAUCACUCAAAAGGCCUCCCCAUGCCCUGAGACACAACAGUAUUGAAAUUAGGCCAAUUCAGAAUCCCUCCAUGGCUUCUAAGUGUUCAAGUGAAAGGAAGAAUCUCACAUUCUCACCUUGAAUCAAAAGCUGGACAUGAUUAAGCUUAGCAAGGAAGGCGUGUGGCAAGCUGAAAUUGGCUGAAAGCUCUCGCACCAGUCAAGUUGUGAAUGCAAAGAAAAAUUCUUGGAAUAAAUUAAAAGUGCUACUCCAGUGAAUGUACAAACAGCAAGAAAGUGAAACGGCCUUGUUGCUGAUACGGAGAAAGCUCGAGUGGUCUGGGGAGACGAUGAAAGCAGCCAUGACAUUCUCCUAAGUGAAGGCCUGAUCCAGAGCAAGACCCUAACUUGAGGCCCAGUUCUGUGAAGGCCGAGAGAGGUGAGGAAGCCCAGAUGAAAAGCUGGAAGCGAGCAGAGGUUGGUUCAGGAGGUUUAAGGAAAGAAGCUGUCUCCGUAACAGAAGAGUGCACGGUGACUCAGCAAAUGCUGACGUAGAUGCGGGAGCAAGUUAUCCAGAAAGAUCUAGCGAAGGUCAUUAAUGAAGGUGGCUACACUAAGCAGAUAUUCACUUAAAUUAAAUAGACAUAUUGGAAGAAGACUUUCAUAGCCAGAGAGAAGUCAAUGCCUCGCUUCAAGCUUCAAGGGACAGUCUGGCUUGUCAGGGGCGAAUGUAGCUGAUGACUUUAAGUUUGAAGCCAGUGCUCAUUGACUCUUCUGAAAAUCCCAGUGCCGUUAAGAAUCACACUAAGUCUACUCUGCCUGUGCUCUAUAAUUGGAAUAACAAAGCCAGGAUGACAGCACAUCUGCUUACAACAUGGCCUGCUGGGUAUUUUAAGCCCACUGUUCAAACCUAGUGCUCAGAAAGAUUCCUUUUAAAAAUGAGUACUCAUUGACAGUGCACCUUGUCACCCAAGAACGCUGAUGGAGACGUACAAGAUUAAUGUUACUUUCAUGCCUGCUAACACAACAUCCAUUCUGCAGCCCACGGAUCAAAGAAUAACUAUGACUUUUAAUCCUUAUUAUUAAGAAAUACAUUUUUUUGCAAGGCUGUGGUUGCCAUAGACAGUGAUUCCUCUGAUGGCUUCAGGUGAAGUAAAUUGAAAACUGACUUAUGGAAAGAAAACUUUCCUUUGGAAAGGAUUCACCAUUCUAGAUGCCACUGAGAACAUUUGGGAUUCAUGGGACGAGGUCAAAAUAUCAACAUUAACAGUUUGGAAGAAGUUGACUUCAGUCCUCAUGGAUGACUUGGAGGCGUUCAAGACUUAAGUGGAGGAAGUCACUGCAGAUGUGGUGGAAACAAGCACAAAAAUUAGAAUUUUAGAAGUGGAGUCUGAAGAUGUGACUGAAUC